UACGGAGGGGGCCAGCGUUGCUCGGAAUCACUGGGCGUAAAGGGCUCGUAGGCGGUUUGAUAAGUCCUGUGUGAAAUCCCUUGGCUUAACCAAGGAACUGCGCCGGAUACUGUCGAACUAGAGGCCGGGAGAGGGGAGCGGAAUUCCGAGUGUAGCGGUGAAAUGCGUAGAUAUUCGGAGGAACACCGGUGGCGAAGGCGGCUUCCUGGACCGGUUCUGACACUGAUGAGCUAAAGCUAGGGUAGCAAACAGG
rnacentral:rRNA from 1 species